AGAGAAUGAAGGCAGUCUAGUCCACAACCACCUCGCGGCCGACUACUCUCAACCACAUGUAACCCGCGGCUCUCAAAAUAAAACAGCACACGAGGCAGUCCACUCCACAGCAAGGUCGCGACUUGAUAUCUCGAGCCACUGCCAGACCGUGACAUCACACGCCAAAAGAAAGGAGACAACCAGUCCACUCCACGGGAUGGACGCGAUGCACCCAUAAUCAUUGCAGCCUGGUCGCGACCCGUCUCGUUGCAAUUAAAGGCGACAGCCUGAGCCCUAUGUUUGGUGCCACACUUUCUCCAGCCUCUUCAUCAACGCAUAGCUACGAACAAAAAAAUUUCCGACUCAAAUCUUCGGCAUUCAUUGAAGUUGCAAAAAACCUUUAUUGAAUUUACUCAUUAGUCAGGGAUUUUUUAACCAACAACGAAAUGCCCUAAUUAAUUCGAAGCC
rnacentral:lncRNA from 1 species